AUUGAACGCUGGCGGCAGGCCUAACACAUGCAAGUCGAACGAGUGGCGGACGGGUGAGUAAUGUCUGGGAAACUGCCCGAUGGAGGGGGAUAACUACUGGAAACGGUAGCUAAUACCGCAUACCAUCGGAUGUGCCCAGAUGGGAUUCGCUAGUAGGUGGGGUAACGGCUCACCUAGGCGACGAUCCCUAGCUGGUCUGAGAGGAUGACCAGCAACACUGGAACUGAGACACGGUCCAGGCUCCUACGGGGGGCAGCAGUGGGGAAUAUUGCACAAUGGGCGCAAGCCUGAUGCAGCCAUGCCGCGUGUAUGGAGAAGGCCUUCGGGUUGUAAAGUACUGUCAGCGAGGAGGCGUUACUCGCAGGAGAAGCACCGGCUAACUCCGUGCCAGCAGCCGCGGUAAUUC
rnacentral:rRNA from 1 species